rnacentral:rRNA from 1 species
AUUGAACGCUGGCGGCAGGCCUAACACAUGCAAGUCGAGCGGAUGAAGGGAGCUUGCUCCUGGAUUCAGCGGCGGACGGGUGAGUAAUGCCUAGGAAUCUGCCUGGUAGUGGGGGAUAACGUCCGGAAACGGGCGCUAAUACCGCAUACGUCCUGAGGGAGAAAGUGGGGGAUCUUCGGACCCCACGCUAUCAGAUGAGCCUAGGUCGGAUUAGCUAGUUGGUGGGGUAAAGGCCUACCAAGGCGACGAUCCGUAACUGGUCUGAGAGGAUGAUCAGUCACACUGGAACUGAGACACGGUCCAGACUCCUACGGGAGGCAGCAGUGGGGAAUAUUGGACAAUGGGCGAAAGCCUGGUCCAGCCAUGCCGCGUGUGUGAAGAAGGUCUUCGGAUUGUAAAGCACUUUAAGUUGGGAGGAAGGGCAGUAAGUUAAUACCUUGCUGUUUUGACGUUACCAACAGAAUAAGCACCGGCUAACUUCGUG